GUUCCCUUAGCUCAGCUGGUUAGAGCAUCUGACUGUUAAUCAGAGGGUCGCUGGUUCGAGUCCAGCAGGGAACG
rnacentral:tRNA from 1 species